UACGAAGGGGGCUAGCGUUGUUCGGAAUUACUGGGCGUAAAGCGCACGUAGGCGGACAUUUAAGUCAGGGGUGAAAUCCCGGGGCUCAACCCCGGAACGGCCUUUGAUACUGGGUGUCUUGAGUUCGGAAGAGGUGAGUGGAUUGCGAGUGUAGAGGUGAAAUUCGUAGAUAUUCGCAGGAACACCAGUGGCGAAGGCGGCUCACUGGUCCGAUACUGACGCCGAGGUGCGAAAGCGUGGGGAGCAAACAGG
rnacentral:rRNA from 1 species